AAAGUCGUAACAAGGUAACCGUAGGUGAACCUGCGGUUGGAUCAUUAAAGGUUCCUUCGCUCGCUCGUUCUCGGAGAUCCUAGUUGGUUCUCCCACCUGUAGUGUUUUUUUUUUUUUUGUCUUUGUCUCCUGAAAAAAGCAAAGAAACAACUUUUGGCAACGGAUCUCUUGGCUCUC
rnacentral:misc_RNA from 1 species